rnacentral:rRNA from 1 species
GUAGGAUAGAGGCCUACCAUGGUUUUAACGGGUAACGGGGAAUUAGGGUUCGAUUCCGGAGAGGGAGCCUGAGAAACGGCUACCACAUCCAAGGAAGGCAGCAGGCGCGCAAAUUACCCAAUCCCGACACGGGGAGGUAGUGACAAUAAAUAACAAUACGGGGCUCAUUUGGGUCUCGUAAUUGGAAUGAGUACAAUUUAAAUCCCUUAACGAGGAACAAUUGGAGGGCAAGUCUGGUGCCAGCAGCCGCGGUAAUUCCAGCUCCAAUAGCGUAUAUUAAAGUUGUUGCAGUUAAAAAGCUCGUAGUUGAACUUCGGAAUUUAUUCAUUGGUCAGACUUAACUGUCUGUACUGGUGUUAUGGAUUUCUACCUUCUGAGGAAUUAUCAUGCCAUUUAGUUGGUGUGGUAGGGAAUCAGGACUGUUACUUUGAAAAAAUUAGAGUGUUUAAAGCAGGCUAACGUCUGAGUACAUUAGCAUGGAAUAAUAGAAUAUGACGGAUUGGUUCUAUUUUGUUGGUUUCUAGGAUCACCGUAAUGAUUAAUAGGGAUAGUUGGGGGCAUUAGUAUUCAAUUGUCAGAGGUGAAAUUCUUGGAUUUAUUGAAGACUAACUACUGCGAAAGCAUUUGCCAAGGAUGUUUUCAUUAAUCAAGAACGAAAGUUAGGGGAUCGAAGACGAUCAGAUACCGUCGUAGUCUUAACCAUAAACUAUGCCGACUAGGGAUCGGAUGAUGUUGAUUUUUUAAUGACUCAUUCGGCGCCUUACGGGAAACCA